UUUAAUUGUUUUUCUCCCCCAUUAGUUUCAUCGAGGAAAACAAUGCAGGAUUUCAUCGAGACACUCGACGUCGGUGAAACAACCACUGCCAAUUCGAAAGGUCGCAGCUUUAUCUAAUUCGUUAACGAAAACCCGGGCGAUGAUUUUCGUCUGCGACUAGGGCUCCAACAGGUAUGUCAUGAAGAAGAUUAGAUUGAGCAAGCAAACAGAGAUGUUUAAGAAGACAUCACAUCAAGAGGAUCAUGUGCGGUCGCUGCAAAAACCGAGUGCUUAUGUUCAGAUUGUGAUAAUCGAGGUAUGUUGCAGUUGGAAACGAACCGUUUCUAAAAGCAUAUAACGCAACUUACCUGCAAAUCACAUUACCGGCUUUAAAAAAUGUCCAAAAUGCCCUUAACCAGGUUGGGUUAGGGUUCGAGAUCAAAAGUCUAGGCUUGAAUCGGAACCAAAGCAACUGAGGAUAGCAACCUCAAAUCUCAACAGUACAACAAAAUACAAAGUGAGGUCUAAAUUUUGAUUUGUUAUAUUCGAUUUUGUUGUCUCCUCAUUAGUUUGCAUACAAAGAUGGGGCUACGAAUCCAGUCAUGGCGAAUUCUCGGGUCACAUGACAGGUCAAAAUUAUCUCAGAAAGUGGCUGCCAACCAGGGUCUAAGUUGCUCUUAAAUGAGUCAAAAUUGUCUAACAAAGGGGUUACCUAUCAGGAACAGAAGUAAAAGGCUACUAAUCAUAUAGCAAAACCGAUGAUGGAGAAAGUAUGAAAGAAAUUCAACUUCAAUAGCAUUUCAUUGUGUUUUUUUUAAUACCAUUUUGAGAAUUGUUGGAUCCUAUAUUAUAACCAUCAACUUACAUAUCUUGGUAUGACAUGAACUAAUAUUGUGUUUUUAUUAUUCAUCUCCUCAAUUAUUGUUUUUACAUAUGCAGUUUCGGUUUGGUCUUUUGCGCAGUUUAUUUCCUCCAGGUAUGUUUUUAACUUUUUUUUGGAGCUUAGUGUUUAGUUAGUCUUUUUUUUGUGUUGUAGCUUUAUAAUUUGAAUUAGGUUUGUCAUUAUUAGUGAUUGUUAGUUUUAUGGUUCAUGUAGUCUGUAGAUGGUAUGGCGUAGGUUUUUUUCAAGGAUUAUAGGCUUUAUUUUACUUUAUAUUUGACCACAUGAAUCUUCUUCAAAGUGAUUCGUGUAGAAAAAGAGGUCGUCCUGCCUACUCUACUUUAGGUUAAUGUGCAAGCUCGGGUUCCUCACCGGGGAAUAACACCAAUUGUUUAGAAUCAUUAUCGUCUAAACGUUUUUUCCUUCUUGAAAAAAAUAAAUGUCCAGUUGAUGCUUAUCCUAAUCCCCUAUCUUGUGUUAAUGCGGUUGUACAAACUUCUAGCGUUUGUAGUUCGUCUAUUUCUACGUGCAUUGAGCAUCAUUCACAGUUUUCUAUAUUCUUUUCUUUGUACGUUGAUGUUGGUGAUUGUCGUUUUGUCUGCGAGUUUUGCGGGGCACUUUUUUAGUUUGACGAACGUUUAAAAUCUUUCUCGGCUAGCCGUGGCAUUAGGUAUACGGGUUGUUGUAACAAUGGUUGUGUAGUUCUUCCAAGGCCAUCAGAUCCUCCAGAUUGCAUAAAGGAGCUUUUUGAAUCAUAUGAGUUUCAUAAAAACAUUCGUGCAUAUAACUCAAUGUUUGCGAUGGCAUCCUUUGGGGCCACCGUAUAUGAGUCUGUUAAUCUUACACCUGACCCUUAUGUGUUCAAAAUAAGUGGUCAAAUUUGUCAUCACAUCGGUUCUUUUUGUCCACCAUCUAACUGUCGUACAUGCUUUCUUCAAAUGUGUAUCUAUGAUACUGAAUACGAGCUUCAAAAUAGGCUUGGAUGUUUUGGUGACCAUGGUUCGUCUUCUCUGGAUGAGGAAGUUGUGCUUCUGUUGAUGCGUACAGUUGAUGAAAGUAAUGCAUUAGUUAAAUUGUUUCGUACCGCUCGUGACAUUUGUUGUUCGUCUAACGUUCCAAAUUUUGUAUAACGUCUCCGAGAUACGUUAUUAUACACCGGUUGUAGGAACUAUAGGGGGUAUUGUGUGUCAAUUUGAUGACAGAUCAUCAGAUUACGAUAUAAUUAUUCGUAUGAAAGAUGGCAUACCUCAAAGGGUUAGUAAACUGCAUCAUCAAUACAUGUCCUUACAGUACCCCCUAUUGUUUUUGUUUGGUGAACAUGGUUGGUCUCCUUCACUGCCUUUAGCCGGUGACGAAAGUCGUAGCGACAGACGAUUAACUACGGGUAUGUUUUACAGUUAUCACCUUCAUGAUCUAUUCAAUACACAUACUCAUUUGCUUAGAGGUGGACGUCUUUUCCAACAAUUUUUGGUUAACGCGUAUGUGUGUAUCGAGCAAAAUAGAUUAGAGUACAUACAAUCGCAUCAAGAUCUGUUUAGGGGUGAAUAUUUGCAGGGGAUUCAUGAUGCGAUAACGCGUGGUGACAUGAUUGGUCAUGAUAUCGGUAAACGCACCAUUUUGUCUUCCUCAUUUACCGGAGGACCUCGGUAUAUGUAUAAAAUUACCGAGAUGCGUUAGCCAUUUGCCGUGUUCAUGGUAAUCCACAACACUUCAUAACGUUCACGUGUAAUGCUAAGUGGCCAGAGAUGGAAUGGAAAUGAGAAACUGAUUGAAACUUGCUAAAUGGUUAUUUUUCUUAUCAUACGGAGGUAUUAUUUGGUGUGUUUAGUUUCAUGAAGGAAAUUUAAUACAUUAUAUGCUUUGUAUUAUAUCCUGUUGGGGUUCAAAAUUAAUUUUUGAGCAUAUCUAAUGGCCAGAUUGUUUUGUUAGGAAUAAAACAAAAGGUAUGUGAUAUAUGUUGAUGAACUGCUUUUCGGGAAAGGAAAACGGCAUAACCAAACAAUUUAGGGAUUUAAUGUUGAAGACCGAGUGAUCAAGAAGGGUGAAGUUAAAUCAAACAACGCCUUUGAACUUAGGGAGUGAUAUGUAAGACAAGAUUUGAUAUAAUCUUAGAGAUGCAUUAGUCGGAAUUUUUUUUGCGAAUGGUGAUAUUUAAGUUUCUUUUCUAGUUAAAGAACAACUAGCAAAGAUACAAACCAGUUAUAGAAUAUAGUCAUCCAAAACAUGUUUUAUUAGUUGUAACUUAUGCUUUGUUGAUAUUCUUAUAUUUUGUUUCUUUUCUCACAGUGUAUUGCUUCUUGAUGCACUAGCUUUUGUGUAGGGAUAAUGUAUGUUGCUUGCUUUAUGUGUUGUACUAUUUUGCUACUCUUUUAAAAUAAAUUUCAUAAGACUAUAUAUCUGCUUUGUUUACAUAUAUAUUUUCCUUAUAAGUCAACUUUGAUAGUUGAUGUAGGUAAUUAAAUGCAUUGUGACAUUUGAUUUCAUUCUUUACGUUAACCAUAAGUCGUAACCGAAUUCUUAGUGUUGUUUUCGUCAAUAUUAUUUGUUUUGUUCUGUGAAGUUCACGAAAAUUAGCACUAUAUUUCAAUAUAUUACUAAUAAUUUUUUUUGCAUAUAUUUUGUUUAGUUGGAUGGCAUGAUAUAAUUCAAGUCGAACAUAUUUCGUUAGGUGAUGAUUGUUUAUUCAAUUGGUCAAAAACGAAUUCGAGGUUAUUGGUUACGAGGCUUCAACAAGCAGAAGUAUUACAGUAAUAGGCUUUCAAUUUAUAUUUCAAAAAAGAAAAACGUAUUUCCUUCGUUUACUUAUCUUUUUUGGUUAUUUUAUAUCUAUAGUACAUUGGUUUGUUGUAUAUUCAUCGUGAACUUCGGAUUUCCAUGAUAAGUACAUGCGUACAGUUUCUU
rnacentral:lncRNA from 1 species